AUUGAACGCUGGCGGCAGGCCUAACACAUGCCAGUCGAGCGGAUGAAGGGAGCUUGCUCCUGGAUUCAGCGGCGGACGGGUGAGUAAUGCCUAGGAAUCUGCCUGGUAGUGGGGGAUAACGUCCGGAAACGGGCGCUAAUACCGCAUACGUCCUGAGGGAGAAAGUGGGGGAUCUUCGGACCUCACGCUAUCAGAUGAGCCUAGGUCGGAUUAGCUAGUUGGUGGGGUAAAGGCCUACCAAGGCGACGAUCCGUAACUGGUCUGAGAGGAUGAUCAGUCACACUGGAACUGAGACACGGUCCAGACUCCUACGGGAGGCAGCAGUGGGGAAUAUUGGACAAUGGGCGAAAGCCUGAUCCAGCCAUGCCGCGUGUGUGAAGAAGGUCUUCGGAUUAUAAAGCACUUUAAGUUGGGAGGAAGGGCAGUAAGUUAAUACCUUGCUGUUUUGACGUUACCAACAGAAUAAGCACCGGCUAACUUCGUG
rnacentral:rRNA from 1 species